rnacentral:lncRNA from 1 species
CUAUGGUCUAUUUUUAGCCAUGGCGGCCAUCUUGGAUGGUUGGCCGGGUCACCGGACACAUUUUUAAACUAGAUACCCCAAUGAUGAUUGUGGCCAAGUUUGGUUUAAUUUGGCCCAGUAUUUUCAGAGGAGAAGAUUUUUGUAAAAGUUAACGACGACGACGGACGCCGGACGCCAAGUGAUGAGAAAAGCUCACUUGGCCUUUUAGGCCAGGUGAG